UACAGAGGUCUCAAGCGUUGUUCGGAUUCAUUGGGCGUAAAGGGCUCGUAGGUGGCCAACUAAGUCAGAUGUGAAAUCCCUCGGCUUAACCGGGGAACUGCGUCUGAUACUGGAUGGCUUGAGUUUGGGAGAGGGACGCGGAAUUCCAGGUGUAGCGGUGAAAUGCGUAGAUAUCUGGAGGAACACCGGUGGCGAAGGCGGCGUCCUGGACCAACACUGACACUGAGGAGCGAAAGCCAGGGGAGCAAACGGG
rnacentral:rRNA from 1 species